rnacentral:rRNA from 1 species
UACGUAGGGUGCAAGCGUUAAUCGGAAUUACUGGGCGUAAAGCGUGCGCAGGCGGUUUUGUAAGACAGAGGUGAAAUCCCCGGGCUCAACCUGGGAACUGCCUUUGUGACUGCAAGGCUUGAGUGCGGCAGAGGGGGAUGGAAUUCCGCGUGUAGCAGUGAAAUGCGUAGAUAUGCGGAGGAACACCGAUGGCGAAGGCAAUCCCCUGGGCCUGCACUGACGCUCAUGCACGAAAGCGUGGGGAGCACACAGG